rnacentral:rRNA from 1 species
UACGUAGGGUGCGAGCGUUGUCCGGAAUUACUGGGCGUAAAGAGCUCGUAGGUGGUUUGUCGCGUUGUUCGUGAAAACCGGGGGCUUAACUCUCGGCGUGCGGGCGAUACGGGCAGACUGGAGUACUGCAGGGGAGACUGGAAUUCCUGGUGUAGCGGUGAAAUGCGCAGAUAUCAGGAGGAACACCGGUGGCGAAGGCGGGUCUCUGGGCCGAUACUGACGCUGAGGAGCGAAAGCCAGGGGAGCAAACGGG